UAAAAAGUGAUUGGAGAGGGAAACUUAUAUGCAGGUGCAAAAAUAUAGACUGUUCAUCUACAAUGAUCUCCAAUGCUUUAAAAUGGACAAAAAAAAACACAGAGACGCAUGAAGAAAACGGGAAACACCCAUCAAAAGGAUAGAAGAAUAACCAGAAUGGCAAAGGCCUCACCCAACUGAUCAGCUUCCAGGAUAUCAAAGACGUCUGGAGUUACCUGUAAGUGCUGUGACAGUUAGAAGACGCCUGUGUGAAGCUAAUUUAUUUUGCAAGACUCCCCCGCAAGUCCCUCUGUUAAAUAAAAGACAUGUGCAGAAGAGGUACAAUUUGCCAACGAACACAUCAAUGGUCUAAAGAGAACUGGAGGAAUAUUUUGUGGACGGAGGAGAGUAAAAUUGUUCUCUUUUGGGUCAAGGGCCGCAGACAGUUUGUGAGAUGACCCCCAAACUCUGAAUUCAAGCCACAGUUCACAGUGAAGA